rnacentral:misc_RNA from 1 species
ACAAAAGGGAAAAAGGCGUGGCGGGCGCAAGCUCGUUUCACGUUCUGCUCCCGAAAUCCUGUAUUCACCCCAAGUUCCUUUAAAAUUUCAAUAAAAAACUCUGCAAAAGACCACUUUUUAAAGUGGCAUCUAAUUGCACAUAGCGA